AUACGGAGGAUCCGAGCGUUAUCCGGAUUUAUUGGGUUUAAAGGGUGCGUAGGCGGCCUUUUAAGUCAGCGGUGAAAGUCUGUGGCUCAACCAUAGAAUUGCCGUUGAAACUGGGUGGCUUGAGUAUGUUUGAGGCAGGCGGAAUGGGUGGGGUCGCGGUGAAAUGCUUAGAUAUCACGUAGAACCCCGAUUGCGAAGGCAGCCUGCCAAGCCAUGACUGACGCUGAUGCACGAAAGCGUGGGGAUCAAACAGGAUUAGAUACCCUGGUAGUCCACGCAGUAAACGAUGAUCACUAGCUGUUUGCGAUACACUGUAAGCGGCACAGCGAAAGCGUUAAGUGAUCCACCUGGGGAGUACGCCGGCAACGGUGAAACUCAAAUGAAUUGACGGGG
rnacentral:rRNA from 1 species